AUUCGUAAGAUUAAGGUGUUCUGAGCUCCCUAACCUUCAGAGGCACUUGGAGUCCCAGCCCCCUACUCUAAGACCAUAAACAGAAGGACAGUUGACUACAGGGUAGCACAGUUUAGAGCCUUUUCAGAUCUCACUGGAUCCUCACAGCAGCCCAGUGGAAAAGGUAUUCUUAUCUCCAUUUUACAGAUAAGGAAACAGAGGCUUGGUGAGAGGCAGUAAUUUGCCAAAGGUCCACCGCUAGGAGUAUCAGAUUCUGGCCUCCAGCUUCUUGACCAUCAGCCAAGAGUAACGGAGGCCCUGCUCUCCCUUCCAAGGAAGUCUCGGCCCCCAAAACAACUCCUUUGGGUGCCUUCCCUCAAAAUCUUAUCAUGCCAGUGCCAAGGGCAGUCAACCCCAGACUGAACUGUUGGCUGGGCUAGGGAGAAUACCUUGUUCCCUCUCUCUGGCCAGAAACAGUGCCUGGCCAUGAGGUAUGUGGCCUUUGGCACUUUCUGAUUCAUCAAGGACUCAGGAGAACAGUCUGUAGAGGCUGCCCUACCCAGAGAUGGAACUGGAGGUCAAGCUGCUGCUCCCAUUUAGGAAACAGUGCUCACAACCAGGAGGCUCCCAUCAGCCUCUGGCUUCAGGAGGGCAGAACCUGGUCAGAGGAGCAUCCAUCCAAUGUUCAUGUCUCCAGUCUCAGGUCUGGGGUCUGCAGAAGAGGGGUACAGAGGGUCAGAAGUGAUGGGUAUGGAAUGGUGAGCUCAAAGGAAUCCCAGGGAGGAUCCUGCCCAGCCUUCCCCAACUGGAUUCUACAGAACCCCAGCACUAUGAGAUCCCUGCAGGAAAAAAGAUCCCUGUCAAAUAAGAUCGGAAACUCUGCUCUCUCUGACUCUCUUUUGGAGUUUCACAAGG
rnacentral:lncRNA from 1 species